rnacentral:sRNA from 1 species
UCGUAGGAGAUGGUGCGAUAACCACGA